rnacentral:pre_miRNA from 1 species
GCCUCCCGUGCCUACUGAGCUGAUUUGCAGUUGCUUUGGUUAAACUGGCUCAGUUCAGCAGGAACAGGAGU